rnacentral:rRNA from 1 species
CAGGGAUUGCCCUAGUAACGGCGAGUGAAGCGGCAACAGCUCAAAUUUGAAAUCUGGCGUCUUUGGCGUCCGAGUUGUAAUUUGCAGAGGGCGCUUUGGCAUUGGCAGCGGUCCAAGUUCCUUGGAACAGGACGUCACAGAGGGUGAGAAUCCCGUACGUGGUCGCUAGCCUUUACCGUGUAAAGCCCCUUCGACGAGUCGAGUUGUUUGGGAAUGCAGCUCUAAAUGGGAGGUAAAUUUCUUCUAAAGCUAAAUACUGGCCAGAGACCGAUAGCGCACAAGUAGAGUGAUCGAAAGAUGAAAAGCACUUUGGAAAGAGAGUUAAAAAGCACGUGAAAUUGUUGAAAGGGAAGCGCUUGCAGCCAGACUUGCCUGUAGUUGCUCAUCCGGGUUUUUACCCGGUGCACUCUUCUAUAGGCAGGCCAGCAUCAGUUUGGGCGGUUGGAUAAAGGUCUCUGUCAUGUACCUCUCUUCGGGGAGAACUUAUAGGGGAGACGACAUGCAACCAGCCUGGACUGAGGUCCGCGCAUCUGCUAGGAUGCUGGCGUAAUGGCUGUAAGCGGCCCGUCUUGAAACACGGACCAAGGAGUCUAACAUCUAUGCGAGUGUUUGGGUGUCAAGCCCGAGCGCGUAAUGAAAGUGAACGGAGGUGGGAACCUUUCGGGGUGCACCAUCGACCGAUCCUGAUGUCUUCGGAUGGAUUUGAGUAAGAGCAUAGCUGUUGGGACCCGAAAGAUGGUGAACUAUGCUUGAAUAGGGUGAAGCCAGAGGAAACUCUGGUGGAGGCUCGCAGCGGUUCUGACGUGCAAAUCGAUCGUCAAAUUUGGGCAUAGGGGCGAAAGACUAAUCGAAC